rnacentral:miRNA from 1 species
UGUGUGUGUGUGUGUGUGUGUGUGUGUGUGUGUGUGUGUGUGUGUGCGCGUGUACGGGCAUGCAUUCACACCUACAUCCCUAAUUC